GCCGACGAUCAGUAGUCGACCUGAGAGGGUGACCGGCCACAUUGGGACUGAGACACGGCCCAAACUCCUACGGGAGGCAGCAGUGGGGAAUAUUGCACAAUGGGGGAAACCCUGAUGCAGCGACGCCGCGUGAGCGAUGAAGUAUUUCGGUAUGUAAAGCUCUAUCAGCAGGGAAGAAAAUGACGGUACCUGACUAAGAAGCACCGGCUAAAUACGUGCCAGCAGCCGCGGUAAUACGUAUGGUGCAAGCGUUAUCCGGAUUUACUGGGUGUAAAGGGAGCGUAGACGGAGAGGCAAGUCUGAUGUGAAAACCCGGGGCUCAACCCCGGGACUGCAUUGGAAACUGUUUUUCUAGAGUGUCGGAGAGGUAAGUGGAAUUCCUAGUGUAGCGGUGAAAUGCGUAGAUAUUAGGAGGAACACCAGUGGCGAAGGCGGCUUACUGGACGAUGACUGACGUUGAGGCUCGAAAGCGUGGGGAGCAAACAAAAGUCGCUNCCCUGGUAGUCCACGCCCUAAACGAUGACUGCUAGGUGUCGGGAGGCAAAGCCUUUCGGUGCCGCAGCAAACGCAAUAAGCAGUCCACCUGGGGAGUACGUUCGCAAGAAUGAAACUCAAAGGAAUUGACGGGGACCCGCACAAGCGGUGGAGCAUGUGGUUUAAUUCGAAGCAACGCGAAGAACCUUACCUGCCCUUGACAUCCGGCUGACUGGCGAGUAAUGUCGCCUUUCCUUCGGGACAGCCGAGACAGGUGGUGCAUGGUUGUUGUCAGCUCGUGUCGUGAGAUGUUGGGUUAAGUCCCGCAACGAGCGCAACCCUUAUCUUUAGUAGCCAGCAUUUCGGAUGGGCACUCUAGAGAGACUGCCAGGGAUAACCUGGAGGAAGGUGGGGAUGACGUCAAAUCAUCAUGCCCCUUAUGGGCAGGGCUACACACGUGCUACAAUGGCGUAAACAAAGGGAGGCAAGCCUGCGAGGGUGAGCAAAUCCCAAAAAUAACGUCUCAGUUCGGAUUGUAGUCUGCAACUCGACUACAUGAAGCUGGAAUCGCUAGUAAUCGCGAAUCAGAAUGUCGCGGUGAAUACGUUCCCGGGUCUUGCACU
rnacentral:rRNA from 1 species